AAGGCCCCUACAGUUAUCUAAAUAACUGAUUGAGAAGUGUGGUAAAGGGUUUUUUUUUGUUUUUUUUUUUUGUUGUUGUUGUUAUUUGACUAUACUAAAGAGUUAUAUUUGCAGAAUAUCGCAUCUCUUGGGGCUUUUCUAACACUGCGGUUUGGAUGUGCUGCACUCACGCCUAACUAGCUGUCUGAGCGCCAGGGACAUUUUUUUUCCCCUUUAUAAAUGACAAUAUUUUGAUUUCACACCACAGUUGUAUCAAUAUUCCAUUCUCCUGAGGUCCCCUUAACGUGAAGACAAUUGCGAUAUUAGUUCAGGCUGCUAAUCCCAGGGCUCCAAUAUUUUAGCAUCCCUAAUCUUAUCAGAAUCACAGUCUUCCAAGAAUAUAUUGUUGCAUUUAUCUUCAUGUGCAUCCCGCAAAUCAAGCUGAUGAGCAUCCGAGCCGCAGUCAGACUCUCAAACUGCCUUGAAACGUUCUGGGUGUGCUCUGCAUGCUUCCCACACAGCAGUGCACGGGGAGGUAGAAGCAUGUGCCAGGGGUGUCCUGCUGUGCUGGGGCUGCAGAGAGCCAGCGCUGCCUCCUCUCCUCCAUUUUUGUGGUUCUAACGGACAUUAAAGGUAAAUUUUAAUUACAAAUACAUGUGUUUCCCAUAGGAAGAUACUGUCCCCUGUGACAGUAUAUGCAGAAGCUCCACCUCCAUGGCAGACACUGAUUCCUCUCUAUGGGCAAUGGAAGCCCUUGUGAGAGAAAUACACUUGUAAGGUGCAGGUGAAGGAGAUCAAGGAGAGAUUGUAGGCCUGCUGAAGGUCAGCUGAUGGCAACUGAGUAACAGGGUUGGAUAAAAAGGGAAAGGAUGGGGGUAGGGAGAGGGCUCUGGGAAGGGCUUGGAGCAGGGAUGUGCAGGUGGGGACCUGAGGAGCUGCAGAGGAUGGGAUGGAAGGUAUGGAAGAAGUCUGACGUUGUCUUCUUGUGCAAACAUGAAAGAGUCUUUUGGGGGCAACAUACCAACCUCUGACAAGUCCUGUAGCUGCUUCCCUAUCUUCUGUGGAUCACAAAGCGCUUUGCAGCCAUGACCCCAGCAGUGUGACAGCUGCCCUGCAAGGAGGUGUAGAGCUGAGUGCCCAACCUCCCUGCAGCAGCCUGAGCCAGCCAAUGCAUUCCUCCAGCUCUCCGUUCUGUAACAAAGCUGUGAGCCCACUGGGGCCCUUCCUGAGCUGCACACAGUGGGAGGGAGAAUGGAGGGGCCCACACUUCUCCCUCUUUCCCCAUGCAGUCGUUCUGUGCUGCCCUCUUGCCCCAUUCUGUGUCCCCACAGCAGGGUGAGGUGCCCGGUGUUGGCAGGGCUCACAGCCCAGCCCUUUGGUGCAGAUCACAUUGUAGCCUGCAGGGCCUGCCCCACUGUGUGCAUGCUGCAGGGCUGCACAGCUGCAGGAAGAGCCACGGCUCCUCCUACACACACACAUGCACCAUCUGUAGCCAAUAAUAGCGU